rnacentral:rRNA from 1 species
AUGGUAAGAGUACUAAGGUCGGCUGGGGUCUCACUAUUUCCAUCAGUCCAUUUGGGCCAGUAUACCAAUCAGUAUGACUUGUUCUUAUCAAAUAGUAUGAACUACUUUGAAGAAAAUCAAUUGGGGCACAUUUGGUGGGCAAAGAAAGUGCUGCGCAAGUAUGGAUUUGGGGACCGAUUCCGGGAGUGGAUGGCCAUUCUGCUCUCCUCGGCAAGCACGCGGGUCAUGAUCAAUGGAGUUCCCGGUCCGCCAAUCUGGCACCGGCGCGGCCUACGACAAGGUGACUCCACCUCACCACAACUCUUCGUGCUGGCGGUGGACACCCUUGGGAGACUGAUGCGACACGCCCUACAGACCGGCAUCCUUCAGCAGCUGCAUCCCCGACGAGCCAUCCCGGCGAUCUCUCUUUACGCCGAUGAUGUGAUGAUGUUCUGCCAUGCCACUACUGAGGAGAUCGCCGCUGUCAAAGGCAUCCUGGACGUGUUCGGUACGGCUUCUGGGCUCCGCGUGAACUACGCCAAGAGCUCGGCCACGAUCCUUCACGCCGGCGACUACGAAGUGGGGCUGCUGGAGCCACUCGGGUGCCCUGUCGUGGCCUUGCCGGUUACCUACCUGGGCAUCCCGCUCUCCACUCGCCGCCCAUCCGCAGCGCAGCUGCAACCCCUCGUCGACGCGGUGGCGGGCCGGCUGCCUUCCUGGAAAGCUUGGCUGAUGAACAAAGCGGGACGGCUAGCGCUCGUCAAAUCGGUGCUUAAUGCAAUACCGAUCCAUCAACUGCUAGCGCUUGCGCCCCCAAAGAAAACCCUGAAGCAAUUAGAGAAGAUUCAGCGCGGGUUUCUUUGGGCCGGCCGCGCGGAUGCCCACGGUGGACAUUGCCACGUCAACUGGCGUAAGGUUUGCCGGCCACUUGAAUAUGGCGGCCUUGGCAUCCGGGACCUCGAGCGCACGGGGCUAUCACUUCGGCUGCGCUGGCUAUGGCUCACGCGCACGGACACUACUCGAGCCUGGCAGGGGCUGGACACGCAAUUUACGACGGAGGAGCGUGCGCUCUUUUACGCCUCCACGACUAUGGCAAUUGGAGAUGGCAGGACAGCCCUGUUCUGGGAGGAUCGCUGGCUUGGUGGCCAAUCCGUCCGCGAGCUUGCGCCUAGACUCCUCAAGUGCAUCCCCAAGCAACGUCAAAAAUCCAGAACGGUGGCGGAGGCCCUGGCCGGCAAUAGUUGGGCACGUGACAUCCAUGGCCUGCUAGGCCUCCCAGAGAUCGGACAGUACCUUCAGCUCUGGCACUUAGUGCAACAUGUCGAGCUGUCCAAUGAGCCGGACAGGCUGCUCUGGAGCUGGACAGCCAGCGGCGUCUACACCGCCCAGUCUUGCUACUGGGCAACUUUCCAGGGCGCGACGGGCUGCCACUCCUGGAAGCUCAUUUGGAGGAGCUGGGCACCGCCCAAGGUGAAAUUCUUCCACUGGCUGGCAUGUCAAGAUCGCUGUUGGACCGCGGAGAGACUCGCACGCCAUGGCCUGCAACAUCACCCGCGGUGCCUUCUGUGCGAUCAGGAACCGGAGACGAUCGGGCAUCUGAUGCUCACAUGCCCAUUCACUAAACAGACAUGGCAGGAGGUCUUAUCUUGGCUGCGCUUGCCGGCGCCGGCGCCCGAGCACGACGGCUCGCUCAUGGAUUGGUGGCUGCGCGCAAAGGAACGCACACCACCAGCGCUCCGCAAGGCGCUCAAAUCUGUGGCACUUUUGGUACCGUGGAUGAUCUGGAAGCAUAGAAAUGCGUGUGUUUUCGACCAUGUGUCCCCAUCGCUGAACGAGCUUGUAGACAGGAUCAAAGACGAGACCAGAUGUUGGGCAAAGGCUGGAGCUCAAGGGCUCAGGGUCGUUUUGCCAUCAUCCUGGGACGUGCACUGA